AACGAACGCUGGCGGCAGGCCUAACACAUGCAAGUCGAACGCUCCAGCAAUGGAGAGUGGCAGACGGGUGAGUAACGCGUGGGAACCUACCCUUUGGUUCGGAAUAGCCCAGGGAAACUUGGGGUAAUACCGGAUAAGCCCUUCGGGGGAAAGAUUUAUCGCCAAUGGAUGGGCCCGCGUCGGAUUAGCUAGUUGGUGGGGUAACGGCCUACCAAGGCUACGAUCCGUAGCUGGUCUGAGAGGAUGAUCAGCCACACUGGGACUGAGACACGGCCCAGACUCCUACGGGAGGCAGCAGUGGGGAAUAUUGGACAAUGGGCGCAAGCCUGAUCCAGCCAUGCCGCGUGAGUGACGAAGGUCUUCGGAUUGUAAAGCUCUUUUGGCGGGGAAGAUAAUGACGGUACCCGCAGAAUAAGCCCCGGCUAACUUCGUGCCAGCCGCCGCAGUAACAC
rnacentral:rRNA from 1 species